UUUGUAGGUUUACCAACUUUUUCCACUGUUGAUUGCAUUCCAGUGCAAGUACUCAUAUGAAAAAUGAUAGUGACUCUCCUGAGGAGGCUAUGAUCUGUAUACCUGUGCUAGUAUGUUUUCCACGCUGGGUUCAAUUUGUUAACAUGGUCUGUUAUCCAUAAAAUUGCUGUUAGAUAUAAUGCAUUACAGCUAAUUGUCAUAGGCAGUGCUCUUCAAAAAUCACUGUAAAAAGUAGUUUGACUUUCUGAAAAAAAGAGAACCAGACUCCACAAGAACAUGGGUGCGUGUCACCACCAAAAACAAAGACACAAGUGGUUGGCACAUGUUUUGUUGGAUAUUUGAGGGAUAGGCAUGUGUGAGAAAAAGAGAUGUAAAAUGCCAUAGAAACAGAUGCAGAGAAGACACAGAUACCCAUACACAGGUCUGAGCAACCCCUGGGAAUGUAACUGUAAGAAAAGCAGAGCAAGUGAGAUUCAAUAUGACUAUCAACCAAAAAGGAGCUGAGACUUUGAGUGAAACAUUCACAUGGUUUCAGAGGAAAAUAAUGUACACACAGUCUGAGUGCAUCAAAACAUCUGAUGCCAUCUAUUUUUUCUGACCAGAGACACUGCACUAACCAAGUCAAAUUAAGUAAGAAUACGCUACCAAUUUUAAAGACAGUUGCCUUCUAAAUAGAUCUAUAAAUUACAAUAACCUGGCAACUUUCAAAAUAUGAGUUUCCCUGUCAGAAAAAUAUAUGCACCACAAAAUACUGCAUAUACUUUCAUUCACUAGACUUUUUCCUAAACUUACUCAUUACUUUCAUACCUUCCAUUGCUGUUUCCCCUCUUUUCCAGACUUAAGAAAGUGUUUUGUUUAUCCCAGGCUACACUAGUGACUACUCUCCUCUGGUAAAAGUGCUUUUUUCCUCCUGUAUUUCCUUGGGCAAUGUUUAUAUUUUCUCUGCCAUUAGGUUGUGUUUUCCCUAAUGUUUUGGAUUGUUUCCUUCUUACUUGCUCCCAAAGGUUAGAGGCAGCAUAUAAAAGUCCUUAUAUUAUUUUCCUAUUUUGAUUUUUCUUCAUUGGCAAAAUAGUCCAUGAUGUGAAUCUCUAUCUACUUCACUUAAAGAAUCACUAUCUUAAAAAGAGGAUGUCUCUAUAACAAAUUAGUUUAUUUUUUUUACUGGGUUUAUUUUUUUUUCUUCUAAAUUGUGUUUACAGAAUAGUCAAAUGCCCAAAGAAGAAUGCACUAUGAGUAGAAAGUGAAUGAAAAACUGACUUUGGUGGGUAUUCCAUUUUAAUACUAUAUAGAAAAGGAAUUUGUGACUGAAGAAUGUUUGGAUAAGAAGUUCAAUCAAAUAAGGGAUAAUCUGCUGUCAAAGAGAUUAUUUGCGAAAGCCAGGCUAUAAAUUUCUGUUUAAAUUAUACGAUAGCACAAAAAGUACUUAAAUGAAAAACUGUCACAAAAAUUUAUGUGUGCAGAUCUAAAAAUAUGAUCUUUCCUUUUAAAUUUUUUUUUUUCACACCAAAUAUCACUUAGACUAUUGAGUGCAAUUUUUCUUUUUAAUUUUAAAAUGUAAAUGUUCUGCUAUGUUUUUUAUUGUCUGCAAAUUACUUUGCAUAUUGCUAAACUCGGAUGUUGCCUCAUAAACUUUGGAAAUACUGGUUAACUGUCCAGCCUAGGGGCAUGCCAAGUAGACUUGUUACCCAUAUCUGAGCUUUCCUUUAGAAUUAAAGUUAAUGAAAAAUUGAUAAUAUAAAAAUUAGUGAUAGACAGAUGUUUAGGGAGUUUGUUUUGGUUUCAAAAACUAGAUUUUUAAAGGUAAAUGCAGUUUUUCUAGUCCAUCUGAAUUUUAUUGGGAAGUAUGUUUUAUUUUACAGUUAGUCAUGAUAGCCUUAUCGUCUCCUUAGCUUUCAUAUAUUUUCAUAAAUUCCAUCUAGAACUUCAAAAGUGAGAAAAAUCCUUGGUAUUUUUUUACUGUUGAUGAUUAACUCAAAAAUAUAACAUGGCUUAUGGGGAAGGAGUGUCACAUACAUGUCUGAUGGCCUGGCUGUGAGGCUUUGUUUCAUUACAAUGGACAUUAUCUUACAUAUCAUUCCUGUGAUCGUCAUGGUGUUAUGAAGUUAGUAUAAAACCCUGUAACAGCUGAACAUUCAAGAUCUACCAAACUGAUUAACUUUAGCAGUUACACCUUCUUCCUCCUUCUCACUCCUUUAAUAAUCUUCCCUCCCAACAAUAAAAUUGUGUAUAUUUAAAUGAAGAUUUUAUUACCAGGCCUCUACCAGUUUACUCUAAAAGCAGUUCAGAAAUGUCUAUAUGAGACUUCUUUAUGGCUGGUGUUCUUCACAUGUAAUAGAUAUAAUCUGUCCAGUUCCCAAAAAUUUCAUUCAAAAUGCUAUUUACUGCUGUCAAAAUUCCUGAAAUAGAAAAUUUCUUAUGUAAUUUAUGGGAAGUUAUAGAGCUGUAAUAAACUGGCUAUAGGAAUACAACUACAUGUUUAGGUAGCUGUAGAAUAAUAUUUAAUUAUCGCCCCUAGGAAUUUUGUGGGGGAUGGGGGGGUUCCACCUGCAGAAAUUUUAAGGAUAAGCUCUUAGAACUCUCUAUGUGCCAAGCAAAACAUUUACAGUAUUAUUAAUCCAGUAGGUUUUCUCCAGCAUAUACACUUCAAAAACACAUAUAUGCUUUUGAUUGCAAAAACAUACUUCAACUUUUUAAUUAAAAGCUAUUUUUGCUAACGUAGAGCUCAGGAAAGGUUCUGGGUUGCUAGUCUGGUGCACUGAGAUCCUUAUUUAGCCACAAAAAAAGCCCAGAGAAGGAAUAAUGAUUAAAGCACACUUCCCGGUGCUGUUUCACUGUUGCACGCCAGAGGGACCCACGUUAUAAAGUAGCUCAUAGUCUCAUAUAUUUAUCUGAAAUAUGUAGAUUCUCCAUCUAUACUAUGUUACCACAGUAUACUGAAGAAUAACUAGGCAGACAAGAAAUCUUCUAAAAAAUAAUACAGAAGAAAAUACGUUACAAAAAUUAAUUUGGCUUCUUGAAGACAACAUCCCUCCUUUUCCCUCAUUGUAAACACUAAAUUUGUUGAUGCUGUGUGGUUUUGAUCUGCUUUUAAGUUUCAGAGUUUCUCAAAGGGAGUGGGCUUGGCAUUUUAUAGUUGCCUGGGAAGCACUGCCUAUGCUUAUGAUUCCACAGAAAUAUUUUUAGUAUGAUGGAAAGCUUUCUAUCACUAAUAGCUGCUUUUAAACCAGUUCCUUCAUAAGACUUGAAGCACUCUCAGUUUCCCUCUGUCAAGGUGCAGACCUAAGAACCUUUCUUUCUUAAUUCUUACCUUUAAUAGUUAAAAAAAAAAAAGGCGCUUCCCCCCCCCAUAUACUGAUAUAUUAAGUCGAUCCUGAAGAACACAGACAAUGUCUCUAAGACACCCCAAAACACUGGUGUGAGCAGAUGUCUGAGGACGCCUUCCGCCUGUUCCCGAAGUGCCUGGGGCGGAUCUCAGCCCCGGCUCUCCAACACCGCCGGUGAAAUCCGGCCGAGUUACGGCGUUUAUGCUCAGGACUCCCAAACCUGUUUGUCACACCUCUUCCACAGGGCUCGGCGCGACCGAGUCUAUCAUUAUUUGAGCUAAAGAAAGCCGCGGACCCCCUGACCGAGCAGCGCCCGGGCUGCUCCGGCCGCUAGCCCGCGCCUUUGUCACCUCAGAGCCCUCCUGCCGUCACCGCUUCCCUGCCCGCCCUUCGCCCACUCCUCCCAGUCCCGCUUAGGCAAACAAGGCCUCUUACAAGCAGCCGGGGAAGAGGAAAACUCUAGCGAUGCUGAAAGGAGAAAUUAAAGUGUAUCUAAAACUCUUAAAGUGCCCUGUGAGCCCCAAACACGCUACCGGGGUGCCGCCUCGCCUCCUCCCUCAGACCGGGCUGAGCGCAACUCACCCACGCAGGAGGAAAGACAGGUGCCCUCAGGAUUUUACCUCAGGUUCACCUCUUUUAACCCACAAACCUGUUUCUCAUGCUUUAUAACGACUUCUUAUAGCUUUCCUUUCCGAGUCUUAACAUUAUUUGAUAGCGAAUAUUUAGCAAUGUGUAAGUGUGUCUCCCCUCUCGAGGUAAUGUAACAGUCCGCCGGGUUCCCGGCGCCGAGGCUCCGCGUUUAACCCUUUCCUGCCGAUCCCAAAGAAUCUGCCUGGCGGAGGCGGAGUGGGGUCCAGCCUCGGGGUCUGCUGCGCUGGAGCACCGCGGGCAGGUCAGGGUAGUGAACACACUUCAGACAGGCAGUGUGAAGCGGGGGCAGCGACCCCCCACCUGCAAAACGGCCUUAAAUGCCAUCUGAUAAAGUCUUCCAACAUGUCUUCUUCGUGGUGUUGUGACAAUAUUUAAAUAGUGUUUGGAGUUGUUUGUAAAGACAUUAGCACGCAUUUUUCCUACCAGUCACCUUCCAGAAGCUCUUCUCUUCAGCAGUAAGUGGAGAAAUGGAGGUGUCAUGACUCUGAGAGCUGGGGUCCAAACUGUCUUUCCCAAUUUAAGCACUUAAAUGUCUAAGGUAAGAUGAUAUGGGGUUUUGACAUCCAGGGGUUCCCAACUGCAGCUGCUGGGAGAUUAAAGGAAAUUGUAAAUUUUGUACUUACUUUUUAAAAUAAUGCAAAGGGUCAUUUAGCUGAAAUUUCCAGGGUUUGUCUUUUUUCUUUACUAUUCCUUAUUUCUCAGCUCCUGCUUCUCCUUAACUUCAAGUGGCAAUUCAAUCCCUCAAAAAGUUUGUUAAACAAAAUAAAAGCAUGUAAAAGCCCCUAUAAUCUUCUUCUCAAUUCUUAGCCUCUUCAGUCUAUUGCCAUAUUAAAUACUAGAAAUUCCAUUUCCCUUCCUCACUUUAUCUCCUAGGGUCAUAGUACUGGAUCCCUGUGGUGUUUACACAAAUGUUAAUGCCUAAAAUGAAAAGUUUUCCUUUCAGUAUCUUCCAUCUUUGACGAAUUUUCCAGGUCAAUAUUCCUUCUCAGAACCACGCUUUUUCUUUCCUUUCUCUUUUAUUCUCUGAUUCUCACAGGAUAAUGGCCUGAAUCAUACUGAACUGUACUGCAAGAGCCACUUUCAUUUUUUAGGAAGAAGGGAAGGAAUAUAGCUUAAAGUAAAUGCAGGAGGAAAUUGGCAAUAUUACUCCAACAUAUUAAAGGUAAUCCAAGUUAUUAAUUAUUAGGCCCUCAUUGGUAGCAAGGAACAUGUGGAACGACUUCUGGCAGAAAAACCUCUGAAGUUGCAUGAGUACAGGAGAGCUUUUUCUAGAAACCUCCCAAGUGAUAUGAAUGGAUCUGCAAAUUAGAGCUCCUUUUCUGCUUAAGGCCAAGCAAGGUUUGACAACUGUAUUUCAUUAAAGUUUUGGACAACUCAAGAAUCAGCAGCUGCAAAACAUGACACGAAUGAAGUCAGCUGUGAGAAAAAGGCACAGAAAGUAACAGGGCUUGGAGAAGGCUGAGCCAGCUCCCCAAAUGUGGACAAAAUGUGAUGAUCAUACAGAGUCACGAAGAACACCUGUCCUCAUCAGCACUGAUUUCACUGCUCUGCCCUGUGUCCCUUGUUAACGCAGACAGCACCUGCUUUAUUCUUUGAUGUGUUUGCUCUUGAAGGAAUUAUUGCUGUUGGAUGUAACACAGUAGUUUAUGAAAAAAUGUGGUUUCUUGUAACAAGAAACAAAAGGAAAAUGCUUAUUUGGAAAAUACGUGAAUCCGAAGUUGUAGCAAUUAAUCUUUUUCUAAAUAAAUUUUUCUUUAAAUUAA